AUUGCCCCAGUAACGGCGAGUGAAGCGGCAACAGCUCAAAUUUGAAAUCUGGCCCCCAGGGCCCGAGUUGUAAUUUGCAGAGGAUGCUUUUGGCGCGGUGCCUUCCGAGUUCCCUGGAACGGGACGCCAUAGAGGGUGAGAGCCCCGUCUGGUCGGACACCAAGCCAGUGUAAAGCUCCUUCGACGAGUCGAGUAGUUUGGGAAUGCUGCUCUAAUGGGAGGUAUAUGUCUUCUAAAGCUAAAUAYYGGCCAGAGACCGAUAGCGACAAGUAGAGUGAUCGAAAGAUGAAAAGCACUUUGAAAAGAGAGUUAAAAAGUACGUGAAAUUGUUGAAAGGGAAGCGCUCAUGACCAGACUUGGGCUUGGUUGAUCAUCCAGGGUUCUCCCUGGUGCACUCUUCCAGCCCAGGCCAGCAUCAGUUCGCUGUGGGGGAUAAAGGCUUUGGGAAUGUGGCUCCUCCGGGAGUGUUAUAGCCCAUUGUGUAAUACCCUGUGGUGGACUGAGGUUCGCGCAUCUGCAAGGAUGCUGGCGUAAUGGUCAUCAGCGACCCGUCUUGAAACACGGACCAAGGAGUCGUCUUCGUAUGCGAGUGUUCGGGUGUUAAACCCCUACGCGUAAUGAAAGUGAACGCAGGUGAGAGCUUCGGCGCAUCAUCGACCGAUCCUGAUGUUCUCGGAUGGAUUUGAGUAAGAGCAUACGGGGCCGGACCCGAAAGAAGGUGAACUAUGCCUGUAUAGGGUGAAGCCAGAGGAAACUCUGGUGGAGGCUCGCAGCGGUUCUGACGUGCAAAUCGAUCGUCAAAUAUGGGCAUGGGGGCGAAAGACUAA
rnacentral:rRNA from 1 species